rnacentral:lncRNA from 1 species
AUGACGUAUCCUGAAACAGAUGUCAGGCUGAGGACUGACUCGAGUUAUUAUGAUAUGAUUGAUGAGGAACAUCACUUGAAACAGACACUCAGUCCUUUAACAGGGAUUGUAAAGAUGGUUUCUUCAUUCCCAAUAGAUUAUAUGCAUCUCUGUUGUCUUGGGUUGAUGAGAAAACUGUUGAAUAUGUGGUCAAAGGGCAAGCUAGCCACUAGGCUUCCUUCACAAACUGUUAACAGUAUAUCAAGCAAACUGCUGGUGUUACAUUCCCACACCCCUGUUGAAUUCAAUCGUAAGCCAAGAGGUUUGAAUGAGCUUGAUCGUUGGAAAGCUACUGAGCUCCGAUCCUUUAUGUUAUACUGGGGUCCUGUAGUUCUGAAGGGUUGCCUUCCCAGUGAGUUUUAUGACAAUUUUAUGUUAUUUUCAGUGGCAAUGUAUUUGUAUUUGUCACCGGGACUUUCUGACCAAAUGGUUGAAUUUGCACAUAGAUUGAUGAUUUCCUUUGUGAAACACUUUGGACAGCUGUAUGGUAGGGAUGAGAUUGUGUUCACUGUUCAUCAGCAUAUACAUUUAGUUGAUGAAUACAAACAAUUUGGACCUUUAGAUAAUGUUUCGGGAUUCCCUUUUGAGAAUUAUCUUGGCCAAAUUAAGCAUCUUUUACGCAAGCCACACAAACCUCUACAGCAGGUUGUCAAAAGGUUGUCAGAAAUGCCACAUGUUGAGCGUCCAUUAGCAACAGAUGAACCAGUCUUACAGAACAUCCAUACUGAUGGACCACUUCCUCGACAUUUCAAUGUUGCUCUACAGUACAGAAAGGUCUCCAGUAGUCGCUUUACCUUGUCUACAAAGCAGGGGGAUAAUUGUAUUGAGGUGGGAGAUACAAUUGCAGUAGUGCAGAAUAUAGUCCAAGAAGAAGAUGAGGUCUAUGUGAUAUACAGAAAGUUCAGACACCAAGAAUCAUAUUACACUUAUCCCUGUGAGUCCUCAUGCAUAGGUACAUAUAAGGUUCGAGAGUUGUGUGAUGAUAUCGGCGUUGGUAAACUUGGCUGUAUUAAACGUAAAUGUGUUCUGUAUCCAGAGUCAGAGGGAAAUAGCCUCAUAGCUAUUCCAAUAGCUCAUAUGCAGUAG